CAGAAGUGAAACCUGUUUCGAAGUCACAGUUCCUAAACUCGUUGCCGUUUAAAAAUAAGCCAAGAAGGCCCGGCGCAGUGGCUCAAGCCUGUAAUCCCAGCACUUUGGGAGGCCGAGGCGGGUGGAUCACGAGGUCAAGAGAUCGAGACCAUCCUGGACAACAUGGUGAAACCCCGUCUCUACUAAAAAUACAAAAAAAAUUAGCUGGGCAUGGUGGCGCAUGCCUGUAGUUCCAGCUACUCGGGAGGCUGAGGCAGGAGAAUUGCCUGAACCCAGGAGGCGGAGGUUGUGGUGAGCCAAGAUUGUGCCAUUGCACUCUAGCCUGGGUAACAAGAGCGAAACUCCGUCUCAAAAAAAAAAAAAAAAAAAGACAGGAAAUGUAUAUCCUCUUUCCUUUGGAAAAAAACUAAUGGCAAUAUAUAAUGAACAUCUGAUUGCUACACAGAAUUCCUCUAAAUGCUGCCUUUUUGAAAUUUAAAAAUACUUAGGCCAUAAUUCGUCUAGAAUUUAAAAAUACUGGAACAAAACUCAAGCACUCAGAACUGCUUUCAAUAUGCUGUACCUAAGCCUUCAACUGGGAAGUUGAGAAGGCAGAAACUUCUACCUCUUGAAACUCAAGCCAAUACAUAGAAGAGAGCAAGCAAAACUCAGACACAGAAAAAAAGUUUUUGAGUCCUACACAAGACUUUGCUGAAAUGUAAAGAGAAAUGAGCUACUAUUACACACAACAUGGAUGAAUCUCAAAAUCAUCAUGUUGAAAGAAGCCAGACACAAAAAAGGAGAAGACUCGACAUUUGCACUGGCUUCUCAAAAGAGUUUCAACCACAAGAAAAUAUUUAAAACUCCAGUUGUAUGGAGAAAUAAGAUCAAUUUAUUGUCAAAAGACAGAAUUAUUCCUUUUUUAUAUCAACCAGGCUUGACAUUAACUGUAAUCUCAUGGAAAUGUCCACUACUGUAAUUAAGUAUUUGUAUGUAGAAGAAAUGCAUCACAGAAUAUAUGACAUCUGGCUGUAACUACUGUACUAAAGAAAUAAAGAGGCUUAAAACAAAUACUGAAACAAACAAAUCAGAAAGAAAUCUCAAUUUUAUUAAACGAAAAUAUCAUAUCUAGGAACAUCUCAAAUUGAGAAUAAAGUUUAUAUAAUACUUCAGUGUCAUAUGAAUGUCAUAAAAUAACAAAUGUACCAUGUAAUUAUUUAAAAAGCACAGGUCUAUAAAUUGGAAACACUAACCAGCUAAGAGAUGACAGGUAGGCUGAAAAAUCAACCUAUUUCCAAACCACUAAAGAAGAUGUAAAUAAAUCUAAAGGGUAAACUACUUUUGUAGGUUUAUAAAACCACUUGUAUAAAGCAAAAUAUAUAAAAAGAAGAGGUGAGAAAUGUCUAUUAAAGGAUAAAAAAUUAACAAAGCUAUGUGUCAGGCCAUUUUGGUUCAUACAGUUUUCUUUCAUUUCUCUCUAAAAAGGUAUAUCAAUUUUUAUUUUUCACAAACUUCCUUAAAUUAAGAAAGAAAAUACAUUUGUACACUAAAAAGCAGGUUUUCAUUAGCUUUUUCUAGUCAGUGAGCAAAAGGCUGAGAAGAAAUAUAUUUUUUAAGAAAUGGUUAUGCUGUAGUAUCAUUUAUAUAUUAUAUAAGCCAUGAAUGACAUUAAACACAUAUGUAAGUAUGUGUAGUGAUACAGUGUAUAAAAUAAAAGGAGAUAACUAAAUGCUUGCAACAGAAAAUAAAAGUGUAAAGUUUAGAUCUUUUUCUUUACUAUAAAAAAAAACAGCCAUCCUGAGGGCCUGUGCCAUUCUUAGGCCAAUUUCAGGCAGAUUCUGAAAAGCUGGAAAGUAAACACAGGUGUUUUAAAACUAGAGCUGCUGUCACAGACAACCACAAACACCCUUAACUCUGAUGUGGCAACGCCUCUUUCCCUCCCUCAAUUUCUUAAAGCAAUACCCAAAAAGAAAAUGUCAAAUGUUUCACCUUUCAACACCUCAGGAUAAGUAAGAGCUUAAAGUGUUGUUCUGUAAAUCUCUAGCAAAUAGAUCAUUUUUUCACUACUUUUGAAUGUAGCCAAUUAAAUAUUAAUUGCAUGAAAUAAAAAGUGGAAUUUCUUUAAAAAUUUCUACCACCCUAAGCUUUCACGCCCCCUUCCACCAUACUUUACAGCAGUUUCUUUAGAUUCUUAAAGCAAAAUGUUUUGUUUGACCACAUCUAGAUUGUUUCUUCUACUGCAUAGUUUUUACAGAAAAUACCUGAUUUUUUUCCCUGUAAGGUUUAACAGACAACUCAGAAAAACAGAGUUUUAAUUGAAAUAUACAAUUCUGUUUUAGAAAACUGUAUCCUAAUAGGUACCUAAAUAGGAGUAGAAAUCAUUUACAGAGAAAAAUAGAAAACAGUAAGUAAAAUCAUUCCCAAACUGCUACAAAACAGGGAACUCAUGUUUUGAAAUCAACUCAUAAAUUGAAUAAGUUUUCAAACACUGAAAUAUCAAUCUAUUCCUUAUAAUUGUAAAAAAUUGCCCUUAAAAAGCAGGGAUAAAAUUCACUGGAAAUUGAUAAGUUACUACCUAACUAGUAAAUAUAAGAACAAAAGAAAAAUGAAUUUUUCAUAUUUUACCAUAUACAUCAAUUAACAGGUACUGUUAAGGGAAUAGCUAAGUAUCAAUCAGUUCCCAAAUUAAUCUUGGAGGUUAUUUUGAGAGGUUUAGUCCUACCCUCAGAAUUUCACAAAUAAUUCCUUUGUGCAAUUUAUAUAAGAACUGCUCUCUGAAAUCUCACUUGUUUGUAUAUUUGAUUAUUUUUAACAAAACCGUAGUAGUUUCUAUGAUGUAAGCUUUUACUAAAGAGAUGUCUGCCUUUUUAAAUAAUGAAAUAAAAAUUAAUGAAUAGGAA